rnacentral:tRNA from 1 species
GGCGAGGUAGCUCAGCUGGUUAGAGCGUCGGAUUCAUAACCCGGAGGUCGGCGGAUCGUGCCCGCCUCUCGCUA